AUGUCAGCCAAAGCAGAAACACUCUCGCCGGGCCCUUCAAAAGCUGGCCAACGCCAACCUAGUAUUGUGACUAGAGCGUCGCGUCUGCAGGUAACUGAGAGAGUAGUCUGCGAGGAACUUGCAUGCAUGGCGCCCCUUCUUCCUCCCUCGCCUCCGUCCGGCAGCCCGAGGCUGCUCAAGAGCGGCAGCGGCAGCGAGUGGAGCGUGGUGGUGCAGAGCAACGUCAAGUCCUCGCUGCUGCUCCUGCUGGCCAUCUCCACGGUCGCCGCGUUCUCCAUCCUCUACUCGUCCCGGAGCUUGACGGUGGCCAGGACCGCCGGCGAGGCGCUGACGCAGAGCCCCCUGCUCGCCGCCCUCGACCUGAGCAGCCGGAUGCCAGAGGAUGACGACGACCAAAGCGAUGAACCUGCAGAGGUCGUCUCCUUGCCAGCUGCUGCUCCGAGCACCGGUGAGGCAGCCAUGCAGCUCGAGGAGAAAUGCGACAUUUCCAGGGGGAAAUGGGUGCGGGAGCCGAAUGGCCCGGUGUAUACUAACCUGACGUGCCCCAUGCUGCCGGACUUCAAGAACUGCCAGAAGUUCGGCAAGGACGAUGCCCACCUCUACUGGCGGUGGCAGCCGGACGGCUGCGAGCUGCCGCGGUUCGUGCCGGAGCGGUUCCUCGACGUCGUCCGCGGGAAGCGGCUCGCCUUCAUCGGCGACUCGCUGGCCCGCAACCAGAUUGACUCCCUGCUUUGUCUCCUGUCCCAGGCCGAGGCGCCCGUGGACGUGUACUCGGACGCGUUCGACAAGUACCGGACAUGGCACUUCCCGGCGCACAACUUCACGCUCAUGGUGAUGUGGACCGAGUUCUACGCGCACGCCGUCCCCGUCGCCGGCGCCGAGGGGAAGCCCACCUCCUCCUUCGACAUCCACCUCGACAGGCUCGGCGCCGACUGGACCAGCCGCCUGCCGGGCCUGGACUACGCCGUCAUCUCCGGCGGCAACUGGUUCUUCCGCGUCAACUACCUCUGGGAGGGAGGCCGCCGCAUCGGCUGCCUCAACUGCGCCGGCAACGACGCCAACCUCACCGACUUCGGCGUCGCCUACGCCGUCCGCCGCGUCGUCAGGGCGGCCGUCGAGGCCAUCGCGCAGUGCCGGGGCUGCAAGACCAGCCUCGUCACCUUCCUGCGGACCUACUCGCCGGACCACUUCGAGCAUGGCUCGUGGUUCGACGGCGGCUACUGCAACAGGACGGCGCCGCUGCAGGAGCGGGAGGUGAGCAUGGAGAGCAUCGCGUGGGAGCUGAGGAGGGUACAGAGGGAGGAGGUGAGGCGGGUGAGGGCGGCCAAGAGCGGCGGGGGCGCGAGGAGGUUCGGGGUGCUGGACGUGACCAAGGCCAUGAUGAUGCGCGCCGACGGCCACCCCGACAAUCACUUCGACAGCAGGUGGAGGAGGAACGGCAGCGACUGCCUGCACUGGUGCCUGCCGGGGCCCGUCGACAUGUGGAACGGCGUGCUGCUCCAGAGGCUCGCGGAGCUCACGCCGCCGCCGGCCGCGCCGUGA
rnacentral:rRNA from 1 species